UCUGCGAUGAUGAGAAGCGCAGGGGUACGGACCUCAGCCAGUGAUGGGGGCUGAGUGCUGCUGCAGUCGCUCUGAUAAGAGGACGUGUGGUUCACUGUCAGACGAGCAGCAGCACGAUACAGACGCUUGUCUGAGCGGA